GAAAGAAAUUGGCAAAUUUCAAUACCCCAUAUUUAUAUAUACCAUUCUUCUAUAUGUUUGGAUGCUUCCACUGCCUUAUAUAUGUAGUGCAUGAGAGAACUACGUACCUUCUGAUCUCCUAAUCACUAUUUUUUUGUUCCUAGCUCAUUAUCUUUUUAAUUUUUUAAUUAGGAAAGCAUAUUUCUCUUUACAUAUCUCACCUAUUUCCAGUAACUAUGUUGAUUUAUAUAAUACUUGCGCAAUAAUUCUAAGCUCGUAUGUCAAACUUCACCGAAUCUGUUUACCAAAUGCUCUAGGCUCAUCUGUCAAAGUAUUGAUAGCUAAUUCUUAUUCAGUAAUGCUAGGCUCGUCAAGGUUAUCACCAAAUUUGUGUACCAAAUCUGUUUUACUAAUUAAUGAGAACCUUGCAUUCCUUAAUGUGUCUUUUAACUAUUCUCCUUUUGUCACAUUAAAGCAAAAUCUUUGCUUUAGUUGGUGCGCCAUGAACCUAUUACGCUCCCAUACCAACCCUUGGUUCCUCAAAGAACUGUGCUUCACAUAGAGACUGCUUAGGAAAUUUUCUUUGGGUGAACGAGGUAUAAAAAAUUGGUGUGGUACUUUUGCUUAAGUUUUCUUGUAGGUGGGUGGGUUUUAGUAACGGUGACACCGAAGGGAUUGAAGAAGGAAGUUGAAAUGAAGAAAUUUAACUGAAGCAGGUAAAUUUGUGUAAAAUGGGUUUGAAAUGAAGGUGAAAAGCCGAAAAAGCUUGCAGCCCUGGGCCAACUUGCCUUAAACAACUGAUGGGUGGGCAAAAUCGGAUCGGAUUGGGAGAUUUUUCGAGUCUAUCCACCAUUGCCAUUGGAUGGGUCGGCCAUUUCCUAGAAAACUAAUAUUGCAAGCGUAUUUUAUUUCUUGUCAAUUAUAAAGAGAGAAUAUGGUUCAUUAAAAAUAAUAGAGACCAGAUUCUUAAGCAAAUUGAGAGACAAUAUGAGUUGGAGUUUCCUGGCAAAAUCAUGGGCAACAACGAUAAUUAAGUGAUGUCCUCCCUCAAUUAAGUGUUGCUUGUGGUACUCCCACUAGCUUCUUUCGUUUCUCUUACUUGGUGGCUGCGAUCAGCGAGAUGCUCUUUGCUGGAUGCGGGGUCUUCUCUCUUUCCAUCUCUACGGCGCUGUUUGGUUGGGUUUCCGGCGCUCUUUGGUGGUGGUGUUUCGUGCUGGUCGUGGGGUACUGUUGCGGCAGCGUUGGUAGCCGUUUUCUCGGUUUUUCUGUUUGUUUGUUUUGAGCUUUGGGCCUGAACUUUUGUUUGGGCAGCGUGGUGCACCUUAGUUUUGUGCUUCUUUGUAAUUGGAUCUGGUUGUAUAAAGUAUUGACAGUGAAUCAAUCGACAGGUCUCUUUUGGGGUACAAAAAUUCGCAGAGAGUAGUGAGAUGGUAGAAAAAUGCAAGGAAAUCAAAGACAGAGAAAGGGGCAAAACAUACAUGUGAAUUUUAUUCACUCAAAUGCAUAUUUUUCUUCUCAGUAACCAGCUUCAAGCUCACAAUGCAGCAAAUCAAUAAAACAUUAUCAAGGGAAAAAA